rnacentral:lncRNA from 1 species
GUUUCAGGAAUUGCAGUGGAAAGUGGCAGAAAGUCCUUGUGAUAAUGUUGUCCACUAACACCCUCAUCUUGUGAGAUAACUGGCUGCUUUCUACUUAAAGACCUUUUGGAAGAAAUGAUGCUCCCCAUCCUCUCCCUGAGAGAGUCAAUAUCUGCUUCAUCAACCCUGACUGCCUACAGUGUGCAACAAGCUCCACCACCUUUCUUCACGAAGAAUAUUGCUUGCACAGAAGGCUUCUCAAACUGCUUGGGACACCUUGCACAGAAUCAUGCUUCUGCCUUGAAUUCAGAAGGGACACUUAAAGAAAUCCUGAACAUUUUGUUGGAAAUGUGAUCAGUCACCUGCAACUUAGAUCCCUACCUGUUUGGUAAAGGGAAUAAGGACAACUAGAACUUCUGAUAUUCCCAAAGAUUUGUCUGAAGGAAAUGCAGUAUUUUCCAUACAAUAAUCCAUCCAACCCUAAAACAAUUUUGGGUGGAAUGGAGGUUGACAACAGGUAUAAAAUUUCUUUUUUUUUUUCUGAACAAGCUUAUUAAAAUGGUAGCAACAUCUCUAUAGUUAGAACUGGAGUCUAAUAAGAUUUUAAGGUUGAAUAUGGAAUGCAAUCUUGUCUAUCUAGGGACCAAUUAUGCAUACAUAUAUAUGUAUGCAUGCACACGUGUGCGCAGGUAUGUGUAUAUUCAUUUUUGCUGAGGAAGUUAUUUUGAUAUAGUCAAAUACAGGAUGCUGACUUAAAAGAGUAUAACAGUAAAACCACUUUGACCUUUAUUUUUCUGCAUAGCAAUACACAAACAAAUCAGUAUAAUAUAGCGCAAUCAAAAAUAUAAGUAGAGUUUCUUGUUUGAAGGAGGAAGAGAAAGAAGACUUGGUGCUCUUCACUUUUUUUUUUUUUUUUGAAAUACCACAGUGUUUGUGCAGCAUAAGAAACUGACAGAGAUAGAACAUAUAUUGUACAGUCAUAUCUAUUAAUGAACAUAAUACAACAUUAAUGAUGCCUUUGCAUCAAAUAUAAGAAAAGAAGCUGUACUAUGUGCCAUUUAGUUAAUAUAGGGAAAAAAAAAAAGUGUACCAAACACAUGAGCUCACUUCAGUGAAUAAAUAAGAGCUAAAUGCUUUUCACAAUAUAUUUGCAAAGCAGUAACCUAAGAAAAAGUUAUAUAAGUGUUUACAGUUUUCCAGCCA